ACAGCUUAACUAAAAGAAUAGUGAUUAAUCUUAAAUAGAUGGAUUUCAAAGUUUCACUCUUGAUAAAGAGUACCUUUGAUAGUUCCCCUCUUCAGACUCAUGUUUCCACUUCCUUUGUAUUCAGAGUUGUCCUAGUGAUUACACUGUCCACCUAAUAUAGCAUGGCUCAAACUGUGGAUCCUUUUCUUACAGUUUGUUAAUCUGUCUGAGAGGUGGCCAGAAAGACAUUCUACUUCCUAUUGGUAAAUGUAUGAUUUCACAGUGGUACCCAUGCCUAGAUAUCAAACUCACUGUUAGGAAAGAUAUGUUGCAUAAAUAAUAAUUUCUCAACUAGAUAAAAUUAUUACUUUUUACUAAUUAUUAUUUUCUUUUGUGUGUAUCUAUCUAUGUAUCAAUGGUCUUUCAGAGUUAAUCUCUAGAAGUCAAACAUGGGCAGCCCUACAUAAGUUAAAUAACUACCUGGAAUUUUUUAAAUGAACAUGAAAACCAUCGAUAAUACUAUAGGUGAGGUUUCUUGUCUAGUGUUUUUUG
rnacentral:lncRNA from 1 species